rnacentral:rRNA from 1 species
AACGAACGCUGGCGGCGUGGCUAAGACAUGCAAGUCGAACGGACUAUUAAAUUGGGUAACCGAAAUAAUAGUUAGUGGCGAAAGGGUGAGGAAUGGAUAGGUAACGUACCUUUGGCUUCGGAACAGCGUCCCGAAAGGGGCGAUAAUACCGGAUGAUAUCAUGAAUUGUAAGGUUUGUGAUCAAAGAUUUAUCGGCCAGAGAGCGGCCUAUUCCCUAUCAGCUAGUUGGUGAGGUAAUGGCUCACCAAGGCGACGACGGGUAGCGGGACUGAGAGGUUGGCCCGCCACAUCGGGACUGAGACACUGCCCGGACCUCCAUGGAGGGCUGCAGUAACGAAUAUUGGGCAAUGGGCGAAAGCCUGACCCAGCGACGCCGCGUGUAGGAUGAAGUUCUUCGGAAUGUAAACUACUGUCAGGGAUUAGAAAGUUUCGAUUGAUCAAUCCCAGAGGAAGUCACGGCUAACUUCGUGCCAGCAGCCGCGGUAAUACGAAGGUGGCAAGCGUUGUUCGGAAUCACUGGGCUUAAAGGGCGCGUAGGCGGGCCAGAAAGUGUCUUAUGAAAUCCCACGGCUUAACCGUGGAAUUGCUCGGCAAACUUCUGGUCUUGAGGCAAGUAGGGGUGUGUGGAACUCUUGGUGGAGCGGUGGAAUGCGUAGAUAUCAAGAGGAACGCCGAAGGUGAAGACAGCACACUGGACUUGUACUGACGCUGAGGCGCGAAAGCGUGGGGAGCAAACAGGAUUAGAUACCCUGGUAGUCCACGCUGUAAACGAUGCCUACUAGGUUGUGGGGGUUCUGACACUUCCACAGUCGUAGCAAAAGUGUUAAGUAGGCCGCCUGGGGAGUACGGUCGCAAGGCUAAAACUCAAAGGAAUUGACGGGGACUCACACAAGCGGUGGAGCAUGUGGAUUAAUUCGAAGCAACGCGCAGAACCUUACCUGGGUUUGACAUGCUUGGAUGGCGUCUUGGAAACAGGAACGUCUGCCCUUCGGGGUGAAACUUGCACAGGUGCUGCAUGGCUGUCGUCAGCUCGUGUCGUGAGAUGUCGGGUUAAGUCCUUUAACGAGCGAAACCCUUACCGUUAGUUGCCAUCAGGUUAUGCUGGGAACACUAACGGGACUGCCGGUGUUAAACCGGAGGAAGGUGGGGAUGACGUCAAGUCCUCAUGGCCUUUAUGCCCAGGGCUUCACACGUGCUACAAUGGCAAUUACAGAGCGACGCGAGACCGCGAGGUGGAGCAAAUCGCAAAAAAUUGCCUCAGUUCAGAUUGCAGGCUGGCAACUCGCCUGCAUGAAGGUGGAAUCGCUAGUAAUCGCGUAUCAGCGAUGACGCGGUGAAUGUGUUCCUGAGCCUUGUACACACCGCCCGUCAAGUGAUGGGAGCCGGGGGUACCCGAAGUCGGAUUGCUAACCCGCAAGGGAGGCGUCUGCCGACGGUAAGCUCGGUGACUGGCACUAAGUCGUAACAAG